rnacentral:rRNA from 1 species
UACGUAGGGGGCAGGCGUUGUCCGGAAUCAUUGGGCGUAAAGAGCGCGUAGGCGGUCCGGUAAGUCGGUUGUGAAAACUGGGGGCUCAACCCUCAGAGGCCGACCGAUACUGCCGGGCUAGAGUCCGGAAGAGGCGAGUGGAAUUCCUGGUGUAGCGGUGAAAUGCGCAGAUAUCAGGAGGAACACCAAUGGCGAAGGCAGCUCGCUGGGACGGUACUGACGCUGAGGCGCGAAAGCGUGGGGAGCAAACAGG